ACGUAGGGGACGAGCGUUGUCCGGAAUUAUUGGGCGUAAAGCGCGCGCAGGUUGUGAUACAAGUCUGAUUUGAAAGAGCUGGGCUCAACUCAGUUAUGGGUGAGAAACUGCAGGACUGGAGUGCAGGAGAGGUAGGCGGAAUUCCUAGUGUAGCGGUGAAAUGCGUAGAUAUUAGGAGGAACACCAGUGGCGAAGGCGGCCUACUGGACUGCAACUGACGCUGAGGCGCGAAAGCCAGGGGAGCAAACGG
rnacentral:rRNA from 1 species